GCCUGUAGGACAAUCCUGUUGAGAGGCCAUCGCACCGAACAGGCGGAUCACUUGCUGUCAGGUCUUCUAACAGAGUGCAGCCGAAAAUAACCAUGACGAAGCUAACUGCUAUAACAGUCGCCAUUGCGGUGGCCAUCUUUAUGCAGGUGGCAACGGUGGCAGCCCAAGAAGCGCGCGUGGCCCAGCAAAAGUCUCCUGUGUGAUUCCCCCGACUAAGUUUAUGACAACAUGACCGAAAAAUGAAGAGCAGUAUUUCCUGGACUUUGUAGGUCCUAAACGGUUGUUAUUAGCGUUUCUGCCGCGCAUUUUCCGUAAAUUUAAUCAACGAUCAAAUUCAAAGUAUGGAUCUGAAUGCUCCAAAAUACAUCCAAUCUACAUGCGUUUCGUGUCAAUCGUAAGCAGUCAAAUAAACAUGCAGCAUACCUUCUCUGAAA